ensembl:lncRNA
CGAUUAUUUACCUUUUUGUAUGGUUGAAUCCUCGAAUCUGAUUAGUCAGAAGGUGUGUAUUAUUAAUGUUUAUACACACUUCUCAGACAGGAGUCCCAGUUGUAACAAUGUGCUCGUUCUAAUAUGUUAUUCUUAUUAUAGUAAAAGCUCAUACGUGUGACACAUAAUCUAAGACUAAUAAUAAACAGAUUUUUAUAAAACCCAAAUGUGUUGUUAUGUUAUGUUAUGUAAAUGUAAAUGGGCAGUGGUGGAUUGGUGGUUAAGGCUCUUGGUUACUGAUCAGAAGGUCGGGGGUUCAAGCCCCAGCACUGCCAAGCUGCCACUGUUUGGCCCUUGAGCAAGGCCCUUAACCCUCUCUGCUCCAGGGGCACUGUAUCAUGGCUGACUCUGUGCUCUGACCCCAACUUCCUGACAUGCUGGGGUGAAAAGAAAAGAAUUUCAUUGUAUAUGUGACAAAUAAAGACUCAUUAUAAAAUGUUAAAGCUCCCGUAUAAUUAGCCUAAAGCGCCUAUCCAAGGCUUACCCAAAGUUAAAUGAAUGCUGUUCUUGAACCAUUGGGAGUACAUGCAUGGUUUUGGUCUCUUUUGAAAGGUGACACUCUGACAUUUUCCCCCAGUGGUCAGAAUCACUGUAAGUGCUACUGGUAUUUAGUAACAGAAGUUUGAACACACUGAAAUAGAAGGGUUUUUUUCCCCCCCGCCUCAUUUUUUUUUUUUUUUGCAUACAGAUGCCUGCAGAUGACUACACCUGGGAACUAUUAGCUGGAAAACACAACUGGACCACAGCCUUACCCAGUCCAAGUUCAAAUUUGAUAACAAUGCCAAAGAAAAUGAAUAUUUUACACAUGGUUUUCUAAGGGUCUGUCCAUGGGUUUUACCAAAAUCACCUUUUGGAGACUCCAAAGGACCCUUGGUAACCAUGUACACAUACCUACGAUAAAGGCUACUGCGCUUUAUUUUUCUAAUAAUUUUGGACAGUAAUGAAAGUGAUACUAAGAGCUAUCAUAUCACAUAUCCAACAAUCUACAAAAUAUAUAUUUAUAUGUAUAUUUGUAAUUGAAACCUUUGCACACUUUUACACCACUGGUUACGCAGCUAUACGCAGGGACUUUUAAAAUGAAGUGUUGAAACUCACCCCUAAAGCAGCAUAUCAUAUUUUUCAGAAUUUCAUUGCCUAUACGAUGCACCAGUCCUCCACACAAUCGGUUGCAAUAGGCUUGAGCUUUUCACACAGACUCUCAUUGGCUAUUGAAGGCUAUGGACAGGACAUGGAAGCUCCCAUAGGUUCCAAUGAGGUGUCAAUCGAAAGGUCGGAGCCCAGUGGCCAUUUUGAAAUCAAGCAAUAAGGAAUCGCUUGACGUUUAUGCUAUGACCUUACAACAUAUUUCCAUUGCACCUCUGAGGUUUCUUGGCAACAGAAGCAUGCAGAGUCCCUCACUUGCUGUGAAAAUGUCAGUAUAGGAAUCAGUAUCAGGUAUCAGUUCCUAUAUGUUUUUGUUUUUUUUUUCUUUUGUUUUUUAAAUCUAAAAUUAUAUAUUUUUUGCAAAUAUCCAACCACAUCUUGUCAUGUGUAUUUAAUUCUGCCUGCUUGAAAAAUGGAAACGCAUUAUAUAAUAUAAAAGGUCAAUAUAUCCAUUAAUAAAAUAUACAAUGUGCUUACAUUCCACUAGUGUAAGAAUUAAUGCAGCCUGGAACUGGUACCUGUACAUGUUACAUUUAUCCCUUUGUAAAGUUGCUGAUGCACUGAGAAUUGAUGAUGAUGUUACAGGAGUGUAGUUUCAUUGGCUGUCCCUACUGACUCGCAGUCUAAAGAGGAUUCUGCUAAUAACACUUAGCUUAAUGGAAUGGAACCGUCAGGCAGUGAUGGGUUACCAUUUACAGUAAAAAUGUGCAUGUGGGAAAUCGCCAUGGGCUGCAGUAGGACAUUUACAUUUAUGUAAGGACCACUUAUAGCUUCCUGCAACGCACGGGUGCGUCUCUGAUAUCCGUGUGAAGAACGGCUGCCUUAGUACUCCAGUUUGAAGGUCUCUGUAGCAUUGGGUAGAAAUGAAAACAUCAUUGGAACCAAUGUUAGUCCUUUGGGCAAGGCUUUAACUUGCACAUGCAUAUCUGACCGUGUGCAUUGUAUUAUCUCUCUGUUGUAUUUAUCAGCUUUACUGAGGACUAGCAGCACCUGUUUUGCCGCUGCUGACAAAAUAGCACAACUAAUUGGCUGGCUGAAAAUGAUUGUUGGCUUCAAGAUAAGCAAUUCACUUACAUUUAUUAACAUACUACUCAGAGGGAUGUUGAGACUGCCAUGUUUUUCAAAACACCUAGCAGGACAUACAACGUUGUCCACAAAUUUGGCCCAUAUAAGGAGAUAAUCAUUAUUUUCAUUGUUAUAUUAUGUGAUCUUGUAUAUCCACAAAGAGACAUGGCCACGUUGUAUUUCAUUAUUCAGUCAUAAUACAGUUGUUUAUCUCGGUUCGUUCAUUUAUAACAUUUGCAAUGCAGACACUAAUUAGCGAGCUCUGCUCAGAAGUGAGUCAUAGAUCCUUUCUCCAAGCCAUGCUCAGUCACAUUCAGGUACAGUACGUGCCUUACGGAUGUAUCAAACUAACUGACAAACACACUCUCAUUACAGGAAUAUCAACCUCUGAUAGCGCAGCUUACAUCAUAACAGAUGAGGCAUUGUUAUUCUACAUUAAAUCAAUAGCGUCUAUGAUACUGUAUUACAACAAUCUGUGCAAGUGUCAUGUAUAACCCAUUUGACAACUUUUAACAAUUGGGGUUGUAUGUAUGUCAUCAAAGAAAUCAUCACAUAUCAGUUUUCAAGACAAGCAAGUCCCAUUAGCAAUUCAGGGGAAACAGAGUGGGAAAUAAACAGACAACAAAUACAAGUUCUUGUAAUGCUAUAGACACACUUGUAUACAUGGAGAUUCUAUCAUGUAUGAAUGAAAAAGCACAUGUCAUGUUCUGUCAUGCUACCCUCUACCACUCAAGUCACAAUCAGGAUUUAAACUUGCCAUUGCUGGGGAAGGAAAUAGCUAUUCAUUUGCUGGCAAUCUGACAAUAAAAAUCCAAUUGCUUUUUGCCUUUCUGCGUGCAGAGAGAAAGUACAUAAAUAACAGUGUUUAGCACUACCUUUUCCAUAAAAUAAAAUUAAAAAAUCUAUAUAUAUAUAUAUAUAUAUAUAUAUAGAUUUUUUUUUUAUAGUUUAAGCAAUAACGAUCCAUCUAGGAUACAAAAGUGGGGGCUAUAGUGCUAUACAAGCAUUUUGGAAAGUACUACACCGUAAAGUAUUAAAUGAGUCCAAAAGUAAAAGAGAUGAAAAGAAAGAUAAGGCUGUGAAUAUAGUUGGGGGGGGGGGGGGGGGGGGGGGGGUAAGUGAGCGAAUAAAUAAAGACAAAAACUCUGUCACACUCUGCUUUUACACACCCAUACAGAUGCUGGAUGGAAGUUGAAAAUGUAGAAUGUAAUCCACCAGUGACAAAACAGUGAUUUGAAAUACACUAUAUGGCCAAAAGUAUGUGGACACCUGCCCGUCAUACCCAUAUGUGGAUCUUUCCCAAACUGUUGCCACAAAGUUGGUAGUACAGAAUUUGUAUAGAAUGUCUUUGUAUGCUAUAGCAUUGCAAUCUCCUGUCACUGGAACUAAGAGGUGCAAACCUGUUCCAGCAUGACAAUGCACCUGCGCACAAACUGAGGUCCUUUUGUCAAGGUCAGAGAGGAAGAACUCGAGUGGUCUUGCAGAGAUCCCUGACCUCAACCCCACUGAACACCUUCGGGAUGAACUAGAACAGUGACGGCACCCCAGGCCUCCUCAUCCAACAUCAGUGAUUGACCUCACUAAUGUUCUUGUGGCUGAAUCAGCAAAUCACCACAGACAUGCUCCAAAAUCUAUUGGAAAGUCUGUCCAGAUGAGCAGCAACAUUAAAUAAUGUUUCUCCAGCUACCCGAUUAUAACAUAAAGCAGUUCAGUAGCCUGAUAAAUUCCCUCCCACUUCCCAGCUUAGCGGCUUUGUACUUGACUUGAAUGCAAAGGUGAGAUGAUUUAGACCUGCAUCUAAGACUUGACCACAACAUUUCUUAGCUUUGUUCCAUCUAAAUGUAAACUCAGCACAAGUCUUCCGAUGGUUCGUUGUUCGUCUGGUGCAUUCCCCUUUCACAAAUCAAUUAAUCACUAAUUAGUGCAGAUGUGCUGCAACAGUGCAGGUGUGAUACAAAAGUUCCCUUUUUCCCCCAUUUGGAAUAAUUUAAGAAAUUGUACACGCAGCAUUAAGUGUUACUAUCACCAGUUUAUUAGUGUGUUACAUUCUGUAGUAACGAUAGACAGGGGAGUAACCUGGCCUGGGCAUGUGGGCUUGUAGCACCGAAGAUUUUUUCUUUAGCCCCGAAUAAUUUUCCACUUGGAGCAAUUUGUCACUUCAUAACUGAACAUCAGUAAAAGAAGACGGCGGUGUUGUAAUUUUAUAUCGUCAGUGAACAGAGUGUUGUAUUUUAUCUUCAGUGAAAGGAGGCAAGACCAAUCAGACAGGGUUUACAAGAAAAUAUGUGGAAAUACUCGUGUCUUAUUGGCUGACAGGUCUCAAAUCUGCCAAAUGCUAGCUCACAUAGUCAGUUAGUGUGAGGGAAUAAUGGAUAUAUAGUUGUUUUUUUUUUUAAACCAGUAAAGGGAUUGAAACCGAAACUCUAACAUCCUUUCAUGCUGAAGAGGAAAACAAAGUGUGUAAAUGUCUAUAUGAGUUCCAAGUUACAUGAACACAAUAUGAGAAGAGCAUAAGGACAGCUAGCGUACUUUGCAUGGCACUGUAGCAGCUAAACCCAUAUAACGAUAGCUUAGUUGUGCCUUCCAUUGGGUAGUGACAUCAAACUAGCUAGUCUCGUGUUAGAUAGCCAAAAAGUUUGAUAUUUUAUAGUAGCAAACACUGAUAACUAACCACAAAACUGCACAACACUACCCUCUUAGAAAAAAGAAAAAAAAAGGUUCCAUAUAGCACCCUUCUUUGCAGUACUUUACAAGUGAAGCUUUCCCUUCUAGAGCGUGCUCCAAGUAAAACCCUGAAAAAAAUUCUCAAGAAAUCCUUUUUUUUUUAAGAGUGGAAUCAGUAUAUCGCAAAGUUUCUUGACAGCACAUCUGAAAAACGACCUUGCAGACUUAUUAGCUAAACCACAUGGCUUCUGCUGUAUCUACUGGGAACAAAGUGGCUGCAAGCAGAGAAGGACAAUAAGUCAAAGGAUCCACACCUUCACACAGACAAGCCUUACCAGUAUUCCUCUACACUCAUCCUCUCUCUCUGGCUCUCUCUCUUACACACACACACACACACACGUAAUUCUAUGCUAGUGCGGUAUUUCCAUUGACUUGUGUGUUAGUGUAGCUCAUUCUCCAUAAAUCCAGUUAAUAAAAGCAUGCAUGCAUACACACUUCACUAUAAGAAAAGUCAGUGGAAAUAACACUGGAUUAAGAAGUGUGCUGGAGAUCUGCUUUCGUCUGGAUGCUAAGUGUACUAAGCUCUGUAUAUGUACAGUAGGUGUAAAUGUGCGCUUCAAUGCACUAAGCAUGAAGGGGAAAAAAAUGUCUGCUUUUACCAGUGUCAUCAUCAAUCAUUCCCACCAUUACAUCUGUUUUCAUCAACUCGUCUGGUCGCUUCUCCAUCAUCCCAUUUCUAUAUAUAAAGUAUAAAAUCUUUUGUGGACAUAAUUGAUUUUCUGCCCUGUUCUAUGACUUGUCUUCCGCUGAAUUUAGUCGCUCGUUUGUCAAUAUAUAUUCAUAUUAGCCGCAUAUGCAUUGCACCAUUUGGAGUUUGCUGCUCGGGAAAUGACUGGACCAUUUGCUGCGUGAUGUUAUGAUGGAAGAUCGAGGUUAUCGACUGGAUUAGAAGCUCAUCUCUUGGCAUUGAAGAUCAUUUCAAUCAUGCGUCAACUGCUUCUAUAAACGAAAGCCUUACUGCAAAACAGAAGAUGGGUGAAGGAUUUAGAGCUCCUAGUCCUACAAUGGUGAUGAAUGAAGUGAUUGAGAUUUCAGAAAGACGUAAGUCUCUUUGAAGAUCUGUCAUCUUGUGCCUUUCUAUAAUUCACAUAACAGUACUAGUUAAUUGCUUUUUUUGACCUUUUUUUUUGCCAGAGUAUGAGCAAGAUGUCACUAAUUAUUUAAGCACAUAAGCAUGGUGGCUUGGUUUUGAAGGCUUUUUAGGUGACUGGAAGUCUCUGAGUUUCACAGUUGAGCAAGACCCUAACUCUCAGCUGCUCAGUGAGAAUAUGUGAGGAUAUGUGAGAAACUAAUCCUUUAUAGGAAAUAAAUAAAUAAAUAAAUAAAUAAAUAAAUAAAUAAAUAAAUGGAAUAAAACAUUUAAGUGAGUAGCAGUGCAUUCACACUCACUUUGUAUCACGUUGCACCAUUUUGCACAGAACAGGUGCAAUGAAUGUCAUCACAUGCAUGAUUUUAUUUCUUUGAUAGAUAGACAUGUGUCAGAGAUUUGUCUAGCAACAUUCAGGAAAACAGUUUCGAUGCUUAUAUGCAGGACCAGCUGGAAUAAAUGGGCUAACAGGGUUAUCCCUCCUCUUCCAAAAAAAAAACCCAAAAAAUUUUCUUACUUGCGGUUAAUGGUUUUAAGGUGAUUUGUUUUUAAAUUUGUGAUACAAACAAACAAAGAAACAAACAAACAAACAACAGUGGUCCAUCCAACCAUCCAUCCAUUUUUCAUAGCACAUAUCCCACACAGGGUCACGAGGGAGCCUGAAGCCUAUGCCAGGGAACUCGGGGCACAAGGCGGGGGAAACCCUGGACAGGGUGCCAUUGCAGUGGGACAAUCACACACACACACACAUUCACACACUUUGGACAAUUUGGAAAUGCCAAUCAGCCUACAACGCAUGUCUGGGGGAGGAAUGCGGAGUACCCUGAGGAAACCCCCGAAGCACGGGGAGAACAUGCAAACUCCACAGACACAGGAUUUGAACCCCAGGCAAAUGUGCUAACUACUAAGCCACCAUUGACCCCUCAUUUACAGUCAUUACAAUUAAUACUAACAGACUACUUUAUAAUUCCUUGUGAUAAACCAACCAGUUUGCCAAGGAACAAAUAUCUCACAAGAACCAAAGACCAAAAAGAGAACAUGGGGAAAAUAAACAAACCCACUAUCACUAUCACUUGUCUUGUAAACCGAACUAAUGCUGGUGAAUCUGGCUCAUUUCAUUAAUAUACAUGGCUAACGAUUCACCAAUAAUUUACAGGAAGAGGCCAUUUUACUGACACUGUAAAUAAACAACAACAACCCAGCAAUAUAUUUUUCCUCUAGCCCGUUGACAAAAAAGUGAGGGUUUAAUCUCAUUUCCUUGCUACUAACUCUCUCAAAAUUGCUUCAAUUCUCAUUUACACGAAUUUUUAUUUCUUAAAAUUUGCGUCUAUGCUUCAGCCUCCUGUCGCUGUAAAUCACUAAUGAUAACUGGCUGACUGAUAGGAUGAGGGAUUGUAGGUUGCUUAUUUGAAUUUCACAUGAAAGGUUGGAUGCUUACAUGGAAAGGAAGCAAAGAGCAUCUACUGCUGCUCAGCCCUUUCAUGAGUCACUUCAUCUCUACCUGCUACAUAUGUGUCUAAUUACAACAUUGCACCAGUUAUGUGUUUACAUCACUGCUUUCAGUGCAUUUUCCCUGAGCGGGUCAAUCUUUAAUCCACAGCCCGGGAGAGUGCAGUAGUCUGGUGUUUAUGCAAAUUAGCCUCAUUGACGUCGCUAUUAUACAUUUUCUGCUUAUAUGCAGUUUGUAAAUAUUUUCUGGCUUCAGAUUCCUUUUCACUCAGAUUUUCUCUCUUUUCGGCAAAUCCUUCAGGGAGGGAGCCUCUUCCUGUUUCCAAUGUGGCGCAAUUAAGGCGCCUUUUAUUGCACCUGGCUAUUUCACAGACAUUAAGGAAGGGGGAGGGCAAUGCUCAUAUAUUUUCCUGUGCUUUAAAUUGAUUGCAGUAAAAAGAGAAAGAGAAAGGGGUUGGGGUGGAGCGAGGGAUCUGCCUAGACAGUAAAGUUUAUGGACAAUGCGAGGCAGGAUAUUACCUGUGUGUCUCUGCAUUGAUGAGUUACUCCAUACACUUAGAGGGUUGAGAGAGGGAACGGGAGACAUAAAAGCAGAGACGGAGAGUGAGAAUGCAGAAGAAAAGUUGACGAGUAGGGCACAGAGGAGUGAUAGAGGAUGACAUAAAACUGAUAUCUGGCUAGGAUGGCAGAGAAGGGACACAGACAUACAUAGAGCAAAGGAAGAGAUCAGACUCUCAUAGAACAGAGAGGGAAUUUCUGGUGCUAUUUUCUGAGAUCAGAAUGGGGACAGGAAUAAGACAUCCAUUAUGGCAACCUUAUAAAUGACGGUGUGAAGAGUUUAACCCUAUUAAAUGAUGUUAAAGACAUUUACUCAUGUAUCAAUAUGGCUCUAAAGAUUCAAAAGGUUUUAAAGGAUGACACAGGUGUCCUGUUUCACUCACUCAUAAAUCCAUGUGAAUGUCAUACAUACUGUAUAAUGAAUGUAUGAGAUUACAAACUGCACCUUUUUAAUGAAUAAGUAAUGUUUAACAGUAAGACAAUCUCUGUAAAAUAAAACUGCACUUAAUGAACUCAAAUGAGCGUAUAAUUAAAUGCUAAAUCAAGGCAGACUCACUACAUAUACUUAAAUAUGUUUUGCCACUGUGGAGGCAUACACGUGUUAUACUAUUUUAGCCGGUUCCUUCUACUGCCUCUGUAGUUGGUAUAAACUUGGCUUCUACUUUUCAGCAGCAUUCAAUAUCUCUAAAGAACUCCAUCUAUUCUCUGUACCGCUUAUCCUACACAUUUUCUGUGCCGCUCAUUCUCCCAGGGGACUCGGGGGACAAAGCGGGGGACACCCCAGGACACAUCACAGGGCACAAUUACACACACAUACACAUUCACACCAGAGAUGCCAAUCAGCCGACAAUGCUUGUCUUUGGGGAGGAAGUACCCGGAGUAAACCCCCCGAAUCAUGGGGAGAACAUGCAACCUGCACGCACACAGGGCGGAGGCAGGAACUGAACCCCCAACCCUGUAGGUGUGAGGCAAACCUGCUAACCACUAAGCCACCGUAUCCCCAUCUCUAAAGAACUGCUCCAUCAAAAUCGUGCAUUUGUUUUCGUUUGACUUCCUACCGUCUUGCUCAUUUUUGGAGUCCUUUGUGAAGACUUUCAACAGCAUAAUAAACUUCAAUAAGGUAUAAGCAUUAUCUUAAAGCACAUCUUUUCCUGACCAUGAACCAGCCAGUGCAGAAUAAACAAAUCACUGUGCAAAACAAUGUGUUUCUAUGUGCACACGUGCAGAAUGGCAACAGGUUGUGAUUUUUAAAAUCGCUUAACUGACCUUUAAAAACAGAUUGGACUUAAACAAAAAAAAUAAAUCCCCAUUGGACUAGUCACAUUUACUGACAUCACAGAGACAAGGUAUUACCAAUAUAACCACUACAUUCUAUAGACAGGUUCACAUGUGAGUGAACAAAAAUAUCAGACAAGAUUAUUUCUACCACAAAAACAUUCAAGUGAAAUUUCUAAGUAAAAUCUACACAUAUACUAGGACAAGAAGAUAAUUGCUGUUGGAGGACAUUCAGUACUGCAACAGAAUACCUAAUAACAACUUUUACAAGCAUGCCUCUCUUUGGCAGGUUAUUUUCUGCAUCAGUGCUCAGAAAAAAAUACCUAAUAUUUUUGCCAUACACAUUUACAGUACACCAACUCCACGGUAUUGGCCUUAUUUUUGUGCUUGCAUAAUGACCGCACAAAAAAAGGCCCUUACACUGAUCAUUGAUCUUCCCUGGACUAUGAAGCAGGAGGUUAUAAAUGAAACUGACAAAUGAUUGUUUGUAUUUCUCUAAAAUAAUAGUUCCUGAUCUACUCUACUUCUCAGUUUGAAAUAUCUCUUAGUAUUCUACCACCUCACAUACCUAUGCAACUUUUAGAGCAAUUUAUAAAGUCUUAAACACUUGUAUUUAAGAACAAAUGAUCGGUUUUCUGAUUGGUCUCUGCCAAUAAGCCAUGGAGAGUGGUCUGAGUGUCAAAGAGAGAAAUGCUGCAAAAACCAGCCUACAUGACAAUUAAACACUCUAUAAAGCAAAUUUAGCCUUCCACUCAUACAAGUUGUCCUUCCUAGACAAGAGAUCUAAUGAAGUGUUAUUAACUUCACUAACCUUCACCCUACGUCAACCUCCUCCAAUCAAACUGAACUGUAGUGUCUAAUUCCCUCAUAUGCUUUCCCUCUUUGUCCUGCGUUAAUUAGAAUCAUUCCUUCCAAAGCCUGGUAGUCAGAUAGUAUCUGAGAGCCAUCACUCAUAAUUAACACCGCUGGAAGAUCAGGAGUAGAAAUGCAUGCCUGUGGAUGGCGAAGGGUGGCAUCAUUCAGUAUUUAACAGGGGUAUGUGAGAUUUCUUGGCUGGUGAUGAGUGGAAAUAGGGCGCACGGUGGCUUAGUGGUUAGCACGUUCGCCUCACGCCGCCAGGGUUCUCGCAGCUCUGUGUGUGCGGAGUUUGCAUGUUCUCCCCGUGCUGCGGGGGUUUCCUCCGGGUACUCCGGUCUCCUCCCCCCCCAGUCCAAAGACAUGCAUGGUAGGCUGAUUGGCAUGUCUAAAGUGUCCGUAGUGUGCCCUGCGAUGAACUGGCAUGACCCUGGUGAUCCUGUCCAGGGUGUACCCCGGGAUAGGCUCCAGGCUCCCCCUGCGAGCAAGUGGUUGAAGAUGGAUGGAUGGAUCUGUGUGUCUGUGCUUACAGUGCUCAGAUUCUGAGAGUUAUUAGAGAAUAUGACAAGUUAGUUGUUGACUGGCUUAGCAAAUGCAGAAUCAGUCAUAACGAAUCACUCAUUAUGUUUAAAAUUUGUGCUGAAGCCAGGAGAAUCACAUGUGUGAGUGAUGCCAAUAAUAUUUGCCACGAGUAGACAAUCCAGUUUAAGCUUGAAUUUAUUUAUUUUUUACCAGACAUUAAAAAAGCCCUGGAAGAUAUUAGAUAUUAUCUUGACGUAACCAUAAAUAAAAUACAAUAAAUAAAACCGUAACGUAACAGAUUUAUUUGGUAAGAAUGCACUCUUAUCGGUUAAUUUUUUUUUUUUUUAAAUGUAAUGUCAUUAUUUACAAGCAACUUAAAAUGGUGGUUGUAAUGGUGUCACUGUUUCUCCCAAUUUGUGGCCAUCUUAACUUCAGAUUUAUAUCCUCACUCCUUUGUUCUGUCUUAUCAGUUUCCCUUUCUACAGCCAUCCAUCUAUCCAUCUAUCGCUCCUAUGUCUGCCUCUUCAUCUAUAUUGCCCCUGGCUAGCUACAAAACACUCCGAUAUAUCAUCUGCACAUGAGGAAUAACUUGUCUGAGAAUGGAAGGAAGGUGCAUCCAUACUAACACACAAUCAUAACUGGACUUCAUAGAGGGUUUUUUUUAAAGAUGCACUUAAGCAAGCACGGAGGGAGAUAAGUAAGAAAGCUAAACUGGCAUGAUCACAAGUUCUCUGAAAUUCUCACGCCACAUUAAGUGCUAAGUCUGCUUUACACAAAAGGUACCUUAUCAUGUGCAUCACAAAACUGGAGAGGUGUCACUGACAUGCAUUAAACCAUGCAGUGAGAUAAGCACACACCAUGCUUAUUGCCUCUCAUUGUUCACAUCCUGAUUAAUGAUAAAUGUUAAACAUUUAUACAGGUCUGAGUUAAAUGAUUUUUUUUUUUUUUUUUUUUUUUAAAUAUCUGCCAAGGGGGCACAGAGGAAGCUAAAUCUUCUAUUGGGCAGCUGAAUAGCAAGUAGGCUGAGUGUAUGUAUGUAUGUAUGUAUGUACGUGUGUACGUGUGUGUGUGUGUGUGUGUGUGUGUGUGUGGCUAUGAAAAUCCAGUCUCUGCUUCUAAACUAGAGGGAGAAACAUUGCUCCAAAGAUAAGAGGACUAUCCCAUUCUCUCUCUCUCUCUCUCUCUCUCUCUCUCUCUCUCACACACACACACACAGAUGCACAUGGGAUAGUUCAUGAUAAAGUCUGUCAUUAAGUGUGUCGGUGGUGUGAUGGAUGUACAAUGUGAUCUGGAAGUCAGGUUUUCCCCACAGAGGCAAAACCAAAGAUUUGAUGCUGUAUGGAUUGAGCCUACAAUAACACUGAUAGUCCUUUCCUAUUUUCAGCGUUAGGAAGAAUAAAGGUUGGUGUCUUGUUUAAAAGUUCUAUGUAUAUUACAGCGAUUAUCUUCAGGUCAUCUCCAUUUAAGCUGUGCAUUUUGCAAUGUUCAAAGACCUGUACUCUAUGAUUAUCAAAAAUGAUCUAUGGUAAGUUGGUGUUUGCAAAGCAAUGGAUCUGUCCAGUUUCUAGCCAGAAUAUACAGUCUUUAUGUUGUCCGCAUUUAAUAAAUACAGUAUAUAGGCCUAAAAAUGAUCAUUGUCAUCAGCAGUGGUGGAAAUGGCUGAGAUACACUUGGAGGACUCUAGUUGUCUCUCCCCCUUCAAAUUCUUGCCUUUUUUUGACUAUCAACAAAAAUAAGCGUGACAGCCUGUUUCAGUGCAAUAAAAAAAAUGAAAGUGGCACAGUAAAAGCCCAUAAUGGCGUGAGAAUCUGCAUAGCUGACCGCUAAAACACUUUACAAACAUUACACAUCUCUCUAUGUAACUACUGAUCAAGUUUCGAUUUGUAAUAAAUAUGUAGGCUAACAGAACUGUGAAUAUAAUACUUAGCAAGCUAUGAAAGUGAAAAUAACUUAAGAUGAAUAAGGGCAUUCAAAACAGAUGAAACCUGGACCAUUUCAGGUGCGUGCACGCAGCUUUCUCCAAAUCAAAGUUUCUACUAUCGCAUCUGUUAAUGUAACUGUUUCUGUCGAGAUUUUCGGUGCCAUUAAAUCUACGUUACCGUAUCUGAGGUGCUCUGAUCGGUCCUGUGAGGACACACACUGAUAGAGAAGCAUUCCCAUUGGCUGCAGCCUCUACGUAGGAAAGUCAACACUGCACAACCACAGGCAGAAGCAUUCCCAUUGGCUGUAGCCUGUAGGUAUUAUGACCAAUCACGAAAGCCCCCCCAGGAGAAAUAGAAUAAAAUGUUGUCCUUGUCACAACGAGUUUGGCCCUCGAUACUCUACUGUAGUCUUGAUUUUUCCUAUGAAGCCUCAACAAGAUCAUAAUACAUCCACUGGCUUUGGCUAAUUAUUAUUAAUAUUACUAUUAUUAUUAUUGUUAUUAUUAUUAUGCAUUCAAAACAAUGUGGAUGACAGAACAGCUUCUUAGACAUAGCUCCAAUUCUUGUUUUAUUGAUCACCCUGCUAUUUUUUUUAUAAGCUCACUCUGAUUAGGGCGUGAGAAGUGGAGACAUCGAUAGAGGAAGCCCUCGAUUUCACGCUCGGAAGGGAAUUAAGCCAUGUUUUUGAAUAACGCUGGCGCUCCAGGGUUCCACCAGUCUGUGGCUUGGUUCAUGCAUCUUAGUUAACUCCCAUCUCAAAUGAAAUAUCCACCAGUCUGUUCACAUCCUACUAAUGAAGUCUCUCUCUCUCUCUCUCUCUCUCUCUCUCUCUCUCACUUUAUCUGAAAAUGGGUGAAUUAAACAUGCACCAUGGGCUUCUGGCAUAUGCUGGCUGCAUUUGCAAGACGACGUUAUUGAAUUUGUGAGCCUUUAAAAGCACAUGUAAACGAAGAUGGAGCUGCAUUGAGAAGACACCGGACAAAAGUGAUUUAUGAUCGACUGCUUGAAUGCAUUAACCGCCUACACUGUUCCCUACGCGACCUUAAGCAUAGGAAAGCUCGGAAUAAAAAUGGUGACGCUGACUAAAAUAGAGUCUGCAUAGAAGAAAGGAGCGACAUUUACAUGCUGCCUAAUAAGACAUUAAUAAUCCAUCUGAUAGCUCAACUGGAAUAAUAAAACUUUUCAUGGAAACAGAUGUAAUAUCUCUCCAGGAAAUAGGUGUAUAAUCCUAUUAGUCUUAUGAGAAAUGGGAGGAUAUUCAAAGUAUAAAUUGUUUCCACAGAUGGUGGAUGAGAGAUCAGUUACUUGGACCACACCCAGAUUUCUACACUCUUUGCAGAACCGAGUCUGGAAAAAAAAACCGUGCAAAAGAAACAAUGUGGGCAACCGCUGUUUUAUUCGCAUGUAUGGACAGUCAUGUGAAGACACAAAAGCACCUCAUUUGAAAGAUUCGACUGAGGCUGAACACACACACACACACAUACACACGCACACUAUACAGUUACUUCACACACGACACACGCAUGUUUCACUGUCUUAUUUUCUAUCAAAGUGUGUGUAAGUCAUAGGGGUAUGAAACGCUCACACUUCACACUGUUAACUGGAUCCAAGAUGCUCCUACAUAAGUUGCAAAUAAACUGAACUCCUGCAAAGUUCAGAUUCCCGCCUACUGAGGAAAAAGUAUCACUGCUGUUAAAAAGAAGAAGAAGAAGAAGAAGAAGAAGAAGAAGGGAAAAAAAACCCUCGUAAAAAUAUGACAUUUGAAUAUUUCUGUGUGGAAAAAUUGAAGACACAAACACCAGCCACAAUCCUCUGCCUACUGCAGUCACUGUAAUUACCCUCAUAAUCCCUCUCUUCAUAGCGUUCAGGCAUCAGUGCCCUCAACACGUAGAGGAAUCUGUUCCUUAAUGCUCAUUACUGCAUGCGAAUCUGCAUAUGAAUGAGUGUGUGUGUGUCAGUGAUUAGUGUACGUGUGACACGAUCUACUGUAGCCCUGAUCAUUGGUGGAAAUUGCAGGUUAUUCAGCUGUGGCAUUCUUUCACACCGCUGUGUGUAUCAUUCCGGUGUCUGUGCAGGUUUAACUGAGUCCCCAGGAGCCAUUUUCCACUGACAAGGUGUCAGUGCUAAUCUCAAACUGAUCCACUGAUCCACAAAAUAGUCAGUUCUCAGUCUAUAAAUUAGGUUCCAGCACCAAAAUGUUGCAGGUUUGAAACCAAGUACCGGUGAUAUACAGUAUCUGGCUUGUUGGGUGGGGCAAUACUGUUCCCAUGACAACAUCUCUAGUUGUCCCAUUAACAUGACCUUACAUCACAGCGGGGAUGAAGUCUGGAAUCUGAUUGGUCAGACAGUGUGCAUUAUUGUUGUAUAACCGUAACGUGAACGAUAUUUAAUAUUAAUGUGCUCGUUCUAAUAUGUUAUUGUUUAUACAGUAACAGCUCAUACACAGGGAGUUGUACAGCGGACACUCCUCAUAAUAAUUUUUGUAAUUGUUGCAGCCAAAAAUGCUUGAUUUUGCUCUGGCCUUUUUUUUUUUUGUUUCAAAAUUUGUGAUGCAACUUGCUGAGUUUUUUGUGCUUCUUUUUUGCUUUGCAGAAAUCUACUUGAAUUGGUGAAACUGCAAUUGCAUGAAAUAGUCUUUCGCAGAGAUGUUCAUUCAUAAAUGAGACCUUUUACCUGUACUCGUGUCCGACGGACGGAAAUCAAAGAGGGCUUUGGCUGAAUGCGCGUUGUGAUGACGUCACAUGAUGCGUCUUGGCCCAAAUCAGCGGGAAAUCUGCGAUGGAGUCUCAAGUGUCAGCACUUUGUAACAGUAACAGUGCUUUAGCAAGAGAGAGAGAGAAAGAGAGAGACCGAAGGAGAUGCUGGUGAAGGAACGACCAUCUUGGGUAAGUGAUAAGAGGAACUUACUUGUCUCGCAGAUGUUCCACAACAAUGCAUUUGAACUAUAAACAGGUUUUAAUUAAUACGUGAAUAAAGUAACAGUUGGUAAAUUAUUGUGGUAUAAGCAGAAUAACACUCCCCAGACUGUGCAGUUAUAUGAAAAUAACCUAUUUGGGCGGCUGUGGCUCAGGUGGUAGAGAGGGCUGUCCACUAAAGAAAAAUAAUGUACCUGUGCGGCUGUGGCUCAGGUGGUAGAACGAGUUCUCCACUAAUCAUAGGGUGGGCGGUUCGAUUCCUGGCCCACAUGUCUCCACAUGCCUUAGGCAAGACACCGAACCCCAAGCUGCUCCCGAUGGCUGGCUAGCGCCUUGCAUGGCAACUCUGCAGCCAUUGGUGCCAUUGGAACCGCUACGGUAAAAAAAGCGCUAUAUAAGUGCAGACUAUUUAGCAUUUACUUUGGGGUGGUAACGGCACAUCAUCACACCACCCCACAGUGGAUUAUUUUAGCACAAUCACACAAUCUGCAGAGUGUUAUUCCUUACGUAAUUAAAAUAAGGUGUGAACAGUGUGGGGGUUUUGAAAUUUAUUGUUUAAAAAAAACCAGCAAUGUAACAGCAAUCUGAGGAAGUAAUAACCAUUUUACUGAGUAAAAUGAAUACACCUGUCAGUAACAUCUGACACACAAUGGUACAGACAGAUCUAGCGUCUUCUGUCUUUUGCUGUAUGUGGCUGUAUGUCUAUCUAUUCAAGGUUUUGUCUUUGGAUGGUAAAAUGCGUUGUUAAAGCUCCAAAUGCCAUUCAUUAUUACACUCCCAGAUACUAUUAUGUAAUUGAAAUCUUUAACCAGUGGAAACCUGGGAUGCCUUGUUAAAAAAACUGCACGACCACUGGCAGUUGAAAACGAGAGUAUAAAUGUUGGAGAAAAAUUAAAAGAAAAAAAAAUUCAACGUUCCAUUGCUCAGAGCCUAAACACUUUGGCCUUGUUGCUAAUUCCGCCAUACAUGAAUGCUUUUUAGAAUGCUGUUUUAGUCAACAAGUUCCAACGGGAAAUGAGGCACUAAGCUACACAGCAAUCAUUUGCAUUCUCACACCAGUUUCACACACAACACUCAGAAAGUGCAAAGAACUCUAUUGCUUUGUUCUGUAUAAAUCUGUCUUUUGCUAUACUUGGUACUGCUUAAUGGGUCUGAUUUGUGAAGCGUCCUUAAAGUGAUCAUUCACCAGCUUGGGGUAUUCUUCUCAUAACUGCAUUCCUUCCACCGUUUACAGAGUGACGUCAAAUCAGCAUGUCUGUACACCGCAAUAAAACGAGUUGCCUCUUAGGAUGUAAUGCAGCAUUAUAUUUGACAAACUUGUUCAUCUGACUUUUCAAACCUCUACCAGUAUAUCUCUGAAGUGACAUUUGAACCUUUAGCUAUGAGCUCAGUGAAGUGUUGCCUGUUUAUCUUGUAUGUUUGUUUGUUUUUUAAUCUAAGCAUACAGUGUUUGGGAGUAGUGCAGGCUUGUAGGAGGAGUUUAUCAGGUCAAGAAGGCUGUUUUUCCUUCGUAUUUGUUUAAAGUUUUAAAUUGCAUUUAUGCAUGUUUGAAUACAUCUUUUUUUUUUUUUUUAAAUCGCAUUAAAACGGUCAUUCGGAUUAACCAAAUUAAUCGUGAAAUUCGGCCAGCACUAGUGGAGGUUUUUUGUCGAGAACCGACGUCUGCUCUCGUGUUCUCACUAUACAAUGGGACUCGGAAGCGCUGCACAGUUUACAGCAGACCAAGUACACUGUAAAAAACUAAGUCAUAUAGAACAAUCUUUGUAACAAAGAUGUCUGUAGAGGAUGGCUUGCAUUUUUUUUGUCCGCUCGACAAAAAAAAAACAAAAAAACGCCCGUUCUCGCAGAGAUCGGUGUGGAAGUGAAGAUAUUUCAGGAAUAAAGACUUAAUUUUAGUUUCUUUGCGCACACAGAGCAUUCGUAUCGCUUCAUAAAAUUGGGCUUAAACCACUCAAGUCACAUGGAUUACUUUUAUGAUGCCUUUAUGAACUUUUUGGAGCUUGAAAGUUUUGGUUACUGGGCUGUAAAUGGAGAGAUAGAGAUCUCUCAGCUUUCAUUAAAAAUGUCUUCAUUUGUGUUCCGAAGAUGAACGAAAGUCUUAUGGGUUUGGAACGACAUGAGGGUGAAUAACUGAUGACAGAAUUUUCUUUUUUGGGUGAACUAUCCCUUUAAGCUUAAUGAAAACACUCUAUAGAUUUAAAAAAAAAAAAAAAAAAAACAACAACAACUUCUUCAUCUUGUUAUUGUCACUAUACGCCACAGAUUUGAUUUUAGUAUUGGAAAGACUUUCAUACUGUUGCUCUGUAUGUGAUAUCACCCCCCCCCUCUAAUCCUCUUUGUCCGUUCUGCUAUGUUCAUUUUCGGCCAUGUUUUUCUCAGGAUUUGGUAACUCCAUAACUGCUGAUGCAACAAAGCGAUAAGUACAAUCCCUUUUCACUCACAGUCUACAAAAUCCACAUUCAAACUGAUCCUCUGCACUCGUGUAAGCACCCACAUGCACAGAAACAAGCACACACAUGCAAACUAUCCACAAAAAUGUCACUGCUGAUGCUGUACCCAUCAUCAUUACCGUAUAACAAGCAAUCCUCCCGAGUGACAUUUUCUUCAUUCAUAUGCAGAACUAAAAAUGGCAUGAUAUUUCUGUCAUAAUUGGAACCACAUGUCAACCAUGUCAAUACACGUGCAUGUGCUAAUAAAGUGAAAUCUGGGUUCAGUAGCCAGAUGCUGUGCAAUCUCAUGCUGUAAAGAGAGACGAGCAGUACAUACAGUACAUAUAUAUUUAUACAUAUUACAUAUUUACAUACACCAAAUGGCCAAAAGUUUGUGGACACCUGACCAUCACACCCAUAUGUGGAUCUUCCCUGUUCCAACUUUGUGGCAAGCACACAAUUGCAUAGUGUACUGUAGCAUUACAAUUCCCCUUCACCGUGAGCUCCAUGAAGACAUGGUUUGUGAGGAUUAAAGUGGAAGAACUCGAAUGUCCUGCACAGAGCCCUGACCUCAACCACACUGAACAUCUUUGGGAUGAACUGGAUCGUUGACUGCACCCCAGGCCUCCUCAUCCAACAUCAGUGUCUGACGUCACUAAUGCCAUUGUGGCUGAACAGACCAAUCCUAAAUCACAGACACGCUGCAAAAUGUAGUAGAAAGCCUUCCUGGAAGAGUGGAUGUUAUUAUAAGAGCAAAGGGGGACUAAAUCUAACAUGGGAUGUUCAACAAGCACGUAUGUGUGUGACGGUCAAACCUUUAGCCAUAUAGUCUAUAUAGUUAAAUAAAGUGUGACCCAAUUAUACCCCAGAUAUGAUUGUGAUGAAGCCAUUUUGUCGCAGAAGCCUCCUGUUUACUUCUGCCUCAUUUCCUAGUUGCUGAUUUUACUUCUUGGUUUUCACAGUUUCGGGUUCGUGUCUGCUUUCCUCAUCAGCCUUUUUUCCUUGUUAUUAUUCAGUGUACAUAAAGCAUACGUUGAUAUAUAUUCCUUUGUUUAUGAGUCUCUAGUUCAGAUAACAUUAUUAUAGUUUCACUGACUACUUUACAAUUGUACUACUAUGUUUUUCAUACAGGUAGUUGGAGGAAAAGUAGUCUUGUGGUACUUUAACAGUGUAACACUGCAUUCACAGUGGCACUAAUUUAACAGUUUAAUGACUUCGUAUUAGACGUAAAGGUGUCCUCCCAUGUAUGAGCAGAAAAAAAAAAGAAAAAAAACGGUCUUAUUACUCUUCAGCUCAUCCAAAGUUCCACAUCACCCCAGCUGUGUUAAUAAUUCAACGUAGAGAACAACAGGGCCUUUUACAAGAACAUGAAUUCGCUGGCUCCCUUUCCAUCCGCCCUCUUUCUUUCCGUUCUCCCUCUCUCUCUCUCCCAUAAUCCAGAGCUUUGCGUAUUCUUAAAUUACAACACUGGCUAAUGGAUUUGGGAAGGUAAGUGCACAAGUACACAAUAGUGGUGUUGAGAUUGAGACUGCAGCUUCGCCUAAAAGCCUGAUCUCUUUAUAGUUCAGGAAGAGAGAACGCUCUUGGUCUCUUUAACUCCCCCCCUUCUCACUCACCAGGUUUGUGGUUGCAGUGUUGUGUGAAUGGUUCCUAAGACAGGGAGGAAAGAUGUGAUAAUGAAACAGGGUGACAUUAUACAGAGCGACACCGCUGGUGUGAUUAAACAUCGCAUGAUGAUGAAGUUAAUAACGAAACUUAAAACUGCUAUAUGUAAUGAAGCUGUGGCUCUUUAUGCUGCUGCAUUCUUUAUUAGGCGAUCAUUGCACAGUCAAACAUAGACAAUACAUGAGAAUAUGAAUAAUUCAUUCACGUCAUAAUGAUCGAAAUCAUGCUACAAGCAGAUUUCUGUCUUUGUACUAAUGAACUGGAAUUAGCAUAAGAAUAUGCAGCAUCUCCUUCAUCUUAAUAGAUAUUAUCAUUGUAUAUGAGAUGCUGAGGCUUCCAUGCCAUUAAGCAGAUGCGCGCGCACACACACACACACACACACACACAAAAGGGGUGGCACAGACUAGCUGACUAAUUGAUUCAUUAGUCUCCGCUAUGGGGCGCUGUUGACUAGUCAGGAUGGGGUGGGGGUGUUGGGGGGGGGCGAAGCAAACAGUAAGGAGAUGCAGGCACAAGCAGGCUAAAUGUACUGUCUAUAACAUAACCGGCUCCUGCAGUUAUGUUUGUUGUCCUUUAAUGCUAAAUAAAAUGUAAAUAACCCUUACCCUCCAUGUACUAUGACUUAAUAAAUUCAAUUGCCUCUGUGCAAAGGAAUGCACAUCACUAUCCGAUCCCACUCAGCUAGUUUAGAGAGGUAAAUACCAGCUGACAGAGGAUGAUCCAGGCUCGUUUCUGGAUGCUACUGAGGACGGAGCUGAACAUGGCGGUUCAACUCCCAGGUCAUUAUCAGAAUGGGAAAAAUGUUCCAGAUGAUGCUAUAUAAAGUACAUUACAGCCUCCAUUCAAGGAAGACCAGUCAUUGAGCUAUAGGAGCGAUCUGAUGAUAAGCUUCCAUUCUCCAGUUCCAGAAUCAACUGAGCCACCAGGUCAUCUACACCAGUAAGUAAAUAAAUACCUUAAAUAGUGUAAUAUGAUCCAUUCAUCCAUCUAAACAUUUUCUAUACCGCUUAUCCUACACAGGGUUGCGAGGGAGCCCGUAGCUUAUCCCAGGAAACUCGGGGCACAAGGUGGGGGACACCUUGGACAGGGUAGCAUAAUAUGAUACAUAUAUUUAUUAUUUUGUAUAUUUACUCCACUGAUUUACAAUCCCAAUUCCGAAAAAGUCGGGACAGUAUGGAAAAUGCUGAUAAAAACAAAGAGGAGUGAUUUGUAAAGGUACUUUGAAUUGUAUUCAAACAGAAAACAUUUAAAGACAAGGUAUUUGAUGUUUUACCUAAUCAACUUAUCAAGUUGAUCAAGCAUAAUUUUUUGAAGAUAAACAUUUAUUUUGAAAUUGAUGCAUGCAACAUGUUCCACAAAAGUUGGGACACGGGCAAUUUAGGACUAAUAGCGAUGUGAGAAGUUGAAAUAAGAAGGUGAUGUGAAACAGGUGAGCAAUCAUCUAAUCAUAGUAUAUAAGGAGCCUCCAAAAAAGGCCUAGUCCUUCAAGAGCAAGGAUGGGUUGAGGCUCGCUAAUAUGCCAACAGAUGCAUCAGUAAAUUACCUAAAACUCUGAGAACAUCUUUCCCCAAAGACAAAUCGGUAGGAUUCUGGACAUUUCACCUUCUGCAGUGCACAAUAUAAUUAGAAGAUUCAAGAAUCCGUUCAAGUCUCGAUGUGUAAAGGGCAAGGCAAAAACCACUUCUGAAUGUGCGUGAUCUCCGAUCCCUCAGACGUCUACGUCUUAAAAACCGUCAUGAGUCUGUAAUGGAUAUCCUGACAUGGGCUCGGGAAUACUUUGGUAAACCUUUGACACUGAACACCAUUCGCCGCUGCAUCCACCGAUGCAAGUUAAGGCUUUACUAUGCAAAGCAGAAGCCAUACAUCAACACUGUCCAGAAGCACCGCCGACUUCUCUGGGCUCAGUCUAAUCCGACGAGUUAACGUUUCGAAUAGUUUUUGGACAAAACAGCCGUCGUGUUCUCUGGGCCAAAGAGGAAAAGGACCAUCCAAGCUGUUAUCAGCGUCAGGUCCAAAAGCCAGCAUCUGUCAUGUAUGGGGGUGUGUCAGUGCUCAUGGCAUGGGUAACUUGCACAUCUGUGAGGGCAUCAUUAAUGCAGAAAUAUAUGUACACAUUUUGGAGCAACAUAUGCUGCCAUCCAGAGCAGGACAACGCCAAAUCACAUUCUGUCCGGAUUACAAGCGCAUGGUUGUGUAAGCAGAGAGUGCGGGUGUUAGCAUGGUCUGCCUGCAGUCCUGACCUGUCUCAGAUUGAGAAUGUGUGGCGCAUUAUGAAGCACAAAAUAAGGCAACGUAAACCCUGUACAGUUGCGCAGCUGAAGAAAUGCAUAAUGGAUGAAUGGGGGAAAAUCCCGCUUGCUAAACUGAACCAACUGGUGUCUUUAACGCCCAAACGCUUAAUAAGUGUUAUUAAAAGAAACGUUGAUGUUACACAGUGGCAAACAGUCGACUGUCCCAACUUUUUUCCAUGCGGUAGUGUACAAACUGAAUUAGUUUUGCGCACAUUACCCACAUAUUGUGGCCACACUGAUCAAUUCUGACCAUAAUCAAUAGGACCUUUUCACAAUUAUGUCAAACUGCCUUUUCAUAUGAACAAUGCUCUCAGCUUCAAUGAUCAUGUAGAAAUGUGCUGACAUUAGGUUACGGGAAAGACCUCUUUCCAGAAUCUGACACAAUCCUAAAGUCACUAAAUAUUUGAUGCACAACAUCACAGAGAAAUGACAGUGCUAGGAAUGGAUAGAUAACAGCAUGCAUAAGGACAAACAGAGAGAGAGAGAGAGAGAGAGAGAGAGAGGGAGGGAAGAAGAGAGGUAGAGAAACAAAGAGCUUGUUGUCAGUUGUAGUGAUGCAAUUAUCUGUCUUUCCCUCCCACUUUUAAUUAAGAGACAAUUGAUAAUGGACAAUUAUCCAGAGAGAGAGAGGGAGAGGGGGAGAGGGGGGGACAGAGAGAGAGAGGGAGGGAAGAAGAGAGGUAGAGAAACAAAGAGCUUGUUGGCAGUGUAGUGAUGCAAUUAUCUGUCUUUUCCCGCCCACUUUUAAUUAAGAGACAAUUGACAAUGGACAAUUUUCCAAAGAGAGAGCGAGAGAGUGCACAGGUGUGUAACAGGAUGAGGAUGACAUGGUGCAAUCCUGACCCCUAGUAGGAAUCCGGACUCUCAGUAACGCUGGAACCAUUGCAUUGAAGGAAAUGGAGAGUAUAAAAGAAGAAGAUGCAAGCAAGUAGCAAGUUGAAUGUUGAGCUGCUGGUGUCUUUAGUGUCUGUACACCGCGAACGUUACGAUAAAUGCCACAACGACUACAAGAAUAUUGAUAAGAGGGAGUUGUUGUGGCAAGAAAUUUCUGCUCAAAUAGGAUUCGAUGGUGAGUUUCAUUUACUUUUAUUUUUUCAUGUGCAUAGGCUUGUAAGAAAAAAUUUCCGCAAACUUUUAACCAUCUUCAUCGUUUGUGUGCUGAGUAGAGGAGGAGGCUAAACUGAAAUGGAAAAUCUUACACGAUACAUACACGAGGCAAAAAAAAGCGUGAGGAUGACUGCCGGAGUGGACAGGAAGCUAAAAACUAGAAACAGUGGAAGUAUAUGAAAGUGAUGGAGCCACUCGCAACAUCAACUGCAUUUCGAAGAUGCCAGUGAUCCUGACCCUUUCUGCUCUCUGGACCGGCCUGAGCCAUCCGGAUGCCCUACCUCUGGAUGGAGCUCUCAUCAACUGGAGGCCACAGCCUGGAGAUUGCUUAGGAUGGUACCGCUUGAAGUGCCAUGAAAUAGUUUUGCCAAUUCCAUUCUCGCUGUGGUUGCUGGGACUACGGCUGCUGCGAUGGCCUUGGGACUGCAAUUACCAAAUACAAUUUUGCACUCAGGUCUCCUUUGGUGAACAGUGGACUAGUUCAACAGACUUCAUGUACAAACCAUAGUGAACUUUCUUUCACUUUCACACUAUCCAUUGUUACCCAGAUGAGGAUGACAGAAGAUUGUAAUGAAGUGGAUGUGCAAUAAGUGCAAUAAGUGGGGAAAAAACAAUGUUAGUGUAGUACAAUAAACUGCAAAUGUUUGAAAGAUACUGUGUAUUGCUUUAAUAAACAGUUAAUGCAGGAAGACUCAAACUAUUCAAAUUUACUUUCACUUUCUUUAGGUAAGUAGGUGUGUUAUUAUUAGCUCCGUAAAUAACUUCAUUCUGGGUCUAGGCAUUACCAGGAGUUUCUAGGAAAUAUCAGAACACAAAUAGUAGUGCUGGAACUGCGUACCAUUAGUAUUGAUCCAGUCCAUGCACUGUCCUGAAUGCAAGCGAUGUAAUCAUGCGAAAACGAACAUAUAGGGAAGUUGACUGAAGCUGGUGGUUUAGUGUUUUUUACUCAAAGUAUGUCACAAGCUGUAUUUUGUGUUGUAAUUUCAGUUGCUCCCAUCUGUCUCCUCCUAUAACUUACAGUAGCUACAUUAUGGAGAAAACUAACUGACUGCUCGGAUGGCUAAACACACCGUCAGCUGUCAGACUCACUUGUCACACUUAGCUAAAAUAUGUGCGCAAUGAAGACGAGGUGAUAACGAUAACAGCAGCAGAUAAUUACAUUCUUGGAGGCUCAAAUACUUGAGCUAUUUACAUAGUAAACGGUACACAAGCAGACACUGAAUAUGUUUUGAUGAAUCACUUGCAGAUUAAUCCACGUUUGUCACGUCUCUGCCGACACCUGUCUCAGCUGAAACCUCAAAUUACAAACUACGUCACGACACAUCACGACACAUUAUUAUGACACUAUUCAUAAUCAGUGGACUUUUUGAUCAAGCACACGUGUUCAAAAUUACACACACGCACCUUUAAUAACCCUGACUCAAGAGAAGGUUCGCUCCUGCAUUCUGCACGUGAUAGCACUAAGCCUUACAUUUCCAUGUAUAUAUUUAUAUGUAUAUAUAUAUAAUGCCUUUGUAGAGCACCUGACUCUUUUCCUGAGCUCUUACUUUGCUUUGUUUGCUCUGAGUAUGCUUAAUUAACUAAAUCCUGCAUUGGUAUCCAAAUUUGUGGUACAGCACAACUCAUGUUAUGAAAUGUACUUUCUCAGGUACAGGUUGCUGUAUUUAUACCAGAGAGGGCUUCAAAUCACUUAUGUCUUUAAAUUAGGACCAAAAUACCACUAACACUAACACAGGGGGCAGUGGUGGCUUAGCGGUUAAGUCUCUGGGGUACUGAUCAGAAGGUCAGGGGUUCAAGCCCGGGUCCUACAAAGCUGCCACUGUUUGGCCCUUGAGCAAGGCCCUUAACCCUCUCUGCUCCAGGGGUGCUGUAUCAUGGCUGACCCUGCGCCCUGACCCCAACCAAGAAAAGAAUUUCAUUGAAUGUGUGACCAAUAUCAUUAUCAUUACAUUCAUGCUGCUGAAUGUGAUGCCUUCUGAAAAGUUUCUGUUUAAAAUGAGACAGGGAUCUUUGAAUGUAAGAUAGAUCUGGCUAAUAAAACAGCAGCCUUCAGGCCAAAAGAAAGCUAAAAUGACUGAUCAUUAAAUGAUCAUUACAGACGUAACACCAGCGUCUUAAUGACACCAGGACCUGAUGCGAUAGCUCAUAGAGUCCCAGAGGUAAUAGGGUAGUUAUAGAAACAAACAGCAGUCACUCAAAUGCCAUUGUUAUUAUUGACUAAUUAGGAAAUUGUUGUGACUGCUGGUUAUUACAGUUAUUACACUAACUGGCUUAGAUUUAAUGAAGAUUCAGCAAAAUAUCUCUGUUCUAUUUUUUUUUUUUCUGUUCUAAAUAUAUUGCUGCCCUCAACAACUAAACUAUUUUUCAAAUCUUCCUUUAGGGGAUCAAUAAAAUACAACUAUCCAUUCAUGCAUGCUGACGUCAGUGAAACUAAACAGUCGUUAAAAGUCAGCGACUGAAAAAGUUCCUGAGGAGGAACCGAAUGCAGCAAUGCGGUGAUUUUUACGUGAGCGUGAGUUUCUGCAGAAUAUUCAGCUGCUAAAUAUGGAAAGAAAUAAAUGUACUCCCAGUCUCCCAAAGCCUGCUGGGGAGCGGGGUGAGUGUGACCUGGAUUGAGGUGCGUGCGUGCGUGUGUGUGAGCACUCAGUAUAAUAAGAGACGAACGGUAAGGAGAUGACGAACUGCGUGAAAAAGUCUAUCUAAAUCCAUCUAAGGGAUUAAUGGUGCGUUUGUAAAUGUCAAUGCAUUCAACACUAGAAAUAACAUUAAAAUAGGAUUGAGCGGGCCUCUGCACAUAAAACCAGCGAGGUCGAAUGCCAGCUCUGAUGCAACAUUGCCACCUACAGGGCAUUUAAUGUCAGUACAGGACAUUUUACGGGAUCAGAAAACACCGAGGCAUUUCACAGCAGGUUUUCUGGUUGCAGAGGAUAGGGAAGAGACUAAUCCUGCUGUUCCUGGACUACAAGAGCUCAUCCGAGGUGCACUGAAUUAUAAUCACAAUGUCUAUCCCGUGAAAUAAAGGCAUUGUGAUAUUUGAAGGCAGUAAGUUAGCGCACAUCUUUUCAUUAUUCGGUUAGCGCACAUCUUUUCAUCAGCACAAAUGUUUUGCAUGCAUGGGGAUUCUUUGAUUAGUCAAGAUGUGCCUGUGCAAGUCAUGCAAGAAAAACAUAGAAUACUAUUGUUACACACCAGUGAGUGUGCCAGUAUUCCCAUUAGUACUACAUGCAUUAAUAGAGCUAUAUUAUGGAGACAUUUAUAAUAUGCUGAAACACACAGUGUGAAGACAAAUGCCACUUCUGACACACUUAUCGAGCUAUUUUUAUUUUAUUUAUUGAAAAAUCAAAAUAAAAUGUUCCCUUAAAUGUGCGUGCCAUUUUAAAAGAAAACAACUGCAUGUGCAUUAACUUGUGUGUUCUCUAGAAAUAAAUACAUCAAGACUACAGAACAGCUACUGUGCAUCAAUCCCAGCUUUAAUACACGUAUUUGCUCCCUUUUACGUCAUCUUGGGUGUGGACCAUCAUAAAACUGUGUCCUUCUCUCAAACUGAACCACAGUUGACUUGGACGAGGACAGAGACCCUCAAUUUUUGGCAGACCAGGCUUUAUUUGUUUGGUGCAUACUUAAAUAUGAGUGGACACGUCCUAAAUCACAGGACACACCCUAAACCACAGGAAUCAGACAGCUGGUUAUGAAAUUCUGAAAUGUUCUGGGAUUUAUAGGUUCCUAAACAUCAGACCAUGGAAAUUUCUUUAAACAUGACCAUUCAAAGCCGUGACAUAGAUGGUGACUACAUUAUUAAUCCUCAGACAACUUGCGGGUCGUGCUCACGUCUUAUUCUCCUGUAAAAGACUUGAUAAGCCAGUUCUACUUAGACCGGAAUAUGACAGCCAGGAUUUGGGUAAAAUACGAAUGUUAAUGCAGUGCAGGGAUAUGAGGUCAGGUUAGGUCCUUAUUUCACCAGCAAGAUAACUUUAUAUUGAUUUUAUAUCAUCUAAAGCCACUUUGUGCCAAAACACACUCGCUCACAGACACUCGGCCGGAUUGAGUGCAGACAAAAAUUUGACACGGAGGUUACGAAUUCAAUCAGCUGGAAAAUACGACUGGCUUUCACGCAGAGACGGUUUGUACUGCUGGGACAACAGAACAAGAGAGCUUUUGCAAUUCAAGCAUAGAAAAACAUUGCACGCGGCAUUAAUCUUUGCCAAGAAUGCUGGUCUUUGAAAAGAGAAAGACUAGCCUUUUGAAAAAUCCAAACAAAAAGAGAAAGGAACAGGACAAGUUAAGGUUAAAACAUGUCUGGGUUGUGUAUGUUCGAAUGGGGUGUUCAUCGUGUUUACAAGAUCACUUAGAACCAGAUUGAUGCCAUGUUGACAUAUCUCAAUAUGGAAGUUAGGAUUGUGGACAAUGCUAAACGUAAUUACAGUUGUAUGGCGUAAAAAUCUAUAUUCGAGACUGAAUGGCUGUGUGUGAGCAUGUUAAAUGGAUUGCAUCAAUUAUUAGCAAACCAAUGUCUAUAUUUUCCACUUACCUCAUAACACUCUCACUCAGUUUCAUCCAUCCAUUUUCUGUACCAAUUAUCCUACACAGAGUCGCAGGGGGCCUGGAGCCUAUCCCAUGGAACUCGGGGCACGAGGUGGAGACACCCUGAAUGGGGUGCCAAACCCAUUGCAGGACACAACUGAACACACAUUUACACACUACAGACAAUUUAGAGAAGCUAAUCAGCCUACAAUGUAUGUCUUUGGGCGGGAGAAGGAAACCAUAGGAGCAAAUUCUGCACAUACACAGUGGAGGUGGGAAUCGAUCUCCCAGAACCGGAGGUACGAGGCAAACGUGCUAACCACUAAGCCACUGUACCUCAGAUUCAGUAGCCACUUUAUCCUGAUUAGAAUCGGAUUGGCUCCAGAGAACAGGACGUGAGAAGGGAAUACACCUAGGAGAAGACGCCUAUCCAUCACAGGGCACUGCGCACACUCUCAUUCACACCCUGGGGUAAUUUUUCUCCGCCAAACCACCUACUGGAAAAUUUUUGGGAGGUGAGAAGGAAUAGGAGAACCCAGAAGAAAGCCAUGCAACAUUGUGGUGCUGUGAGGCAACAGUGUUCUCAUUACUUUAACCACUUCACCAGUAAGCAUAUCCUGUGUUUGUGUUUGUCAACAAUACGGUAUUAAACGCUUUCCUGGAAUGAUGCUAAUGCUAUUUGUAUGUUCAAAGUGUUCUUUUUCUCUCUUUCCCUGUCUCCCUCAAUCGGUAGCUCACAAUCAGCAGCUACUGGUCAGCAAGCUCAGCAGUACUGAGAUACUCCAGAGGGCAUCUCCGUGUGUGUUUGUGUGUGGUCGAUUUCAUUUCUCGUCGUUAGGAAACCGUUCUCUCUUACGCACUGUGAUAACAAAGCCUAUUACACAGAUACUGUGUAUUGCUCCAAGCUUCAUGUCACACGCACACAUCACAGUGAGGAAGCCACACUGAUAAGCCUAGCCAAAAAAAACCCCCCCACUGUAUACACAGAAGAUUCAGAUUUAUACGUGCAGACAGGAAUCACCAGCAGCAGUGACAAAGACAAUGACAUUGAUGUAUAUUCUGCAGUGACGGAAAAAUAAAACACUGCUACUUCAGUAACAUUGAACACUCAUACUUCAAGCCAUUAAUAUAGCAAGAGGAAAACAUGUAGGAAGAAAUGCCAUUUGACUUCUAUAGAGGUCGUUUUGUGUCCAAAAGAAGAUUCAGCUACAGUAUAUCACCUCUCUCUUGCAAUGGUAAUGCGUGAAAAAGAACACGUUUACGUCGGGAUAAGAACUGGAUUACAUGCUGUUCUGGGCUGCUUGAUGCAUGACCUCAGCUCAGCCAAUGAAAGACCAAGGUAAGGAAAAGCAGGAAGACUCACAGGGGUGCUGCCAUCUGACAGGGUGGUCAUGCUGAUUGAAGUGCUCAUCUUGUCCGAAGAAGAAAGUGAUGGAGGGGAGGGGCUCCGCUUCUCCAAGCCAUCCUGUCUCUGCAGAAAGUCCCCCCAGGCGUGCUGGAUGCUGUCAAUCAAAUCAGUUUAUGAUCAGCGGUGAAAAAUGAACAAAAUGUGAUUAAACAUUAAAACAAAGUGCAACAUACUGGAUGAGGAUACCUAAUACGCACCUAAAUUUGUCCGUUGUAGUUUAAAUGCUUUUAAUGCAGCUCUACUGAUGACUCUUAUAUCCUAUAAGCGUCAUAUAUAAUCAUCUCCUCCCAGUGACAUGAGAUUAAAAGCUGCCCAAUCCCGAGGCUUUCUUUUCAAUCCUGAUACACACCUUUAACUUGCACACCAAGAUAGUGCUGUUAUUUCCAGAUAUUUCAAAAAUAUUUUCUGCUGACUGAAAGUGAGCUCCUCAUUACCGGAUUCUGGAUUAUAACGAUUCAAAUCUUUUUUUUAACACAGCAUGUGAAAGUGCAGCUGUCAAUCUUCUGCAAAUGAUGCAAAAUGAAUUGGAUCA